rnacentral:rRNA from 1 species
UACGUAGGGUGCGAGCGUUAAUCGGAAUUACUGGGCGUAAAGCGUGCGCAGGCGGUUUUGUAAGCCAGAUGUGAAAUCCCCGGGCUUAACCUGGGAAUGGCAUUUGGGACUGCAAGGCUGGAGUACGGCAGAGGAGACUGGAAUUCCUGGUGUAGCAGUGAAAUGCGUAGAGAUCGGGAGGAACACCAGUGGCGAAGGCGGCUACCUGGACCAGCAUUGACACUCAAGCACGAAAGCGUGGGGAGCAAACAGG